rnacentral:rRNA from 1 species
UACGGGGGGGGCAAGCGUUGUUCGGAAUUACUGGGCGGAAAGGGCUCGUAGGUGGCCAACUAAGUCAGACGUGAAAUCCCUCGGCUUAACCGGGGAACUGCGUCUGAUACUGGAUGGCUUGAGUUUGGGAGAGGGACGCGGAAUUCCAGGUGUAGCGGUGAAAUGCGUAGAUAUCUGGAGGAACACCGGUGGCGAAGGCGGCGUCCUGGACCAACACUGACACUGAUGAGCGAAAGCCAGGGGAGCAAACGGG